ensembl:lncRNA novel transcript
GGAAGAUGUUAUUAGCUCCUGAAAUUUGGUAACAAGAAAGGCCUUUAAAGUCUCCAGGACUUUAGCUCCUUAACGGUGGGACUAUGCUUUAGAUAGAAGCUGAUUAGUAAAUAUUGAUUGAAUGAAUACAUCCAGACAGAGUGUUUGGAAUCUUGGCUCACCCUGCUCACCUCCCCAGCUCCCAGUCUGGUCUGUCUUCAUCAUGGGAAAUGCUUGCUGUACUGGCCAGAAUGAGCAUCAGAACAUGCAAAGAGCCCAGGUAGAACCUCUAGCACUUUGUUGACUACAAGGGAUGAGAGCAGACACCUUUGGUUCAUCUUCGGUUCUGGCCUUAACGGAAAAGCAUUCACUGUUUCAUAGUGGAGAAACUAAGGCCCAUCUCACGAUGGAACUCACCAAGGGCCACAUGUCAAUAACUGGUAAAUAACCUGGAAAGCGGGUUCAACUAGGAGCCCCCAAAAUCAUGCUCCUUCCUGCUCCAGGAAGCACCAGGAACCCCCUUCUUCAUUUGUGCUGACAACAUAACCUUAGAGAUGAGGAGU